rnacentral:misc_RNA from 1 species
GUACUCUCACACUCUCUGAUCCUUUGGGAUUCGGGAGCGGUGGACUUGGGUGUUUGCUGCUUUCCUUGUGGCUCACCUCAAAUGCGUCAGUGCACCUCUUGGUUGGACAUAGUACGGCGUGAUAAGUGUCUUCGCCGGCACCUCGCAAGAGGGUGGCCAAUUGGGGGCUCUGUGCUUUCAAACCGUCUUCGGACAAUCUCUGACA